rfam:Hordeum vulgare subsp. vulgare, WGS project CAJW01000000 data, contig: morex_contig_1495076
CCCCGACUUUUGGGAGGGGCGCAUUUAUUAGAUAAAAGGCUGACGUGGGCUCUGCUCGCUGAUCCGAUGAUUCAUGAUAACUCGACGGAUCGCAUGGCCUUUGUGCCGGCGACCAAUCAUUCAAAUUUCUGCCCUAUCAACUUUCGAUGGUAGGAUAGGGGCCUACCAUGGUGGUGACGGGUGACGGAGAAUUAGGGUUCGAUUCCGGAGAGGGAGCCUGAGAAACG